GAUGAAGAACGCAGCGAACUGCGAUAAGUAAUGUGAAUUGCAGAAUUCAGUGAAUCAUCGAGUCUUUGAACGCACAUUGCGCCCCCUGGCAUUCCGGGGGGCAUGCCUGUCCGAGCGUCAUUGCUGCCCAUCAAGCCCGGCUUGUGUGUUGGGUCGUCGUCCCCCCCGGGGGACGGGCCCGAAAGGCAGCGGCGGCACCGUGUCCGGUCCUCGAGCGUAUGGGGCUUUGUCACCCGCUCGAUUAGGGCCGGCCGGGCGCCAGCCGACGUCUCCAACCAUUUUUUUCAGGUUGACCUCGGAUCAGGUAGGGAUACCCGCUGAACUUAAGCAUAUCAAUAAGCGGAGGA
rnacentral:misc_RNA from 1 species